rnacentral:rRNA from 1 species
GGUUAAGCGACUAAGCGUACACGGUGGAUGCCCUGGCAGUCAGAGGCGAUGAAGGACGUGCUAAUCUGCGAAAAGCGUCGGUAAGGUGAUAUGAACCGUUAUAGCCGGCGAUGUCCGAAUGGGGAAACCCAGUGCAAUUCGUUGCACUAUCGUUAACUGAAUACAUAGGUUAACGAGGCGAACCGGGGAACUGAAACAUCUAAGUACCCCGAGGAAAAGAAAUCAACCGAGAUUCCCCCAGUAGCGGCGAGCGAACGGGGAGCAGCCCAGAGUCUGAAUCAGCUUGUGUGUUAGUGGAACGGUCUGGAAAGUCCGACGGUACAGGGUGAUAGUCCCGUACACCAAAAUGCACAGGCUGUGAACUCGAAGAGUAGGGCGGGACACGUGGUAUCCUGUCUGAAUAUGGGGGGACCAUCCUCCAAGGCUAAAUACUCCUGACUGACCGAUAGUGAACCAGUACCGUGAGGGAAAGGCGAAAAGAACCCCGGCGAGGGGAGUGAAAAAGAACCUGAAACCGUGUACGUACAAGCAGUGGGAGCACCUUCGGGUGUGACUGCGUACCUUUUGUAUAAUGGGUCAGCGACUUAUAUUCUGUAGCAAGGUUAACCGUAUAGGGGAGCCGCAGGGAAACCGAGUCUUAACUGGGCGUUAAGUUGCAGGGUAUAGACCCGAAACCCGGUGAUCUAGCCAUGGGCAGGUUGAAGGUUGGGUAACACUAACUGGAGGACCGAACCGACUAAUGUUGAAAAAUUAGCGGAUGACUUGUGGCUGGGGGUGAAAGGCCAAUCAAACCGGGAGAUAGCUGGUUCUCCCCGAAAGCUAUUUAGGUAGCGCCUCGUGAACUCAUCUUCGGGGGUAGAGCACUGUUUCGGCUAGGGGGUCAUCCCGACUUACCAACCCGAUGCAAACUACGAAUACCGAAGAAUGUUAUCACGGGAGACACACGGCGGGUGCUAACGUCCGUCGUGAAGAGGGAAACAACCCAGACCGCCAGCUAAGGUCCCAAAGUCAUGGUUAAGUGGGAAACGAUGUGGGAAGGCACAGACAGCCAGGAUGUUGGCUUAGAAGCAGCCAUCAUUUAAAGAAAGCGUAAUAGCUCACUGGUCGAGUCGGCCUGCGCGGAAGAUGUAACGGGGCUAAACCAUGCACCGAAGCUGCGGCAGCGACACUAUGUGUUGUUGGGUAGGGGAGCGUUCUGUAAGCCUGCGAAGGUGUGCUGUGAGGCAUGCUGGAGGUAUCAGAAGUGCGAAUGCUGACAUAAGUAACGAUAAAGCGGGUGAAAAGCCCGCUCGCCGGAAGACCAAGGGUUCCUGUCCAACGUUAAUCGGGGCAGGGUGAGUCGACCCCUAAGGCGAGGCCGAAAGGCGUAGUCGAUGGGAAACAGGUUAAUAUUCCUGUACUUGGUGUUACUGCGAAGGGGGGACGGAGAAGGCUAUGUUAGCCGGGCGACGGUUGUCCCGGUUUAAGCAUGUAGGCUGGUUGUCCAGGCAAAUCCGGAUAAUCAAGGCUGAGGUGUGAUGACGAGGCACUACGGUGCUGAAGUAACAAAUGCCCUGCUUCCAGGAAAAGCCUCUAAGCAUCAGGUAACAUCAAAUCGUACCCCAAACCGACACAGGUGGUCAGGUAGAGAAUACCAAGGCGCUUGAGAGAACUCGGGUGAAGGAACUAGGCAAAAUGGUGCCGUAACUUCGGGAGAAGGCACGCUGGUGUGUAGGUGAAGCCCCUGCGGGUGGAGCUGAGACCAGUCGAAGAUACCAGCUGGCUGCAACUGUUUAUUAAAAACACAGCACUGUGCAAACACGAAAGUGGACGUAUACGGUGUGACGCCUGCCCGGUGCCGGAAGGUUAAUUGAUGGGGUUAUCCGUAAGGAGAAGCUCUUGAUCGAAGCCCCGGUAAACGGCGGCCGUAACUAUAACGGUCCUAAGGUAGCGAAAUUCCUUGUCGGGUAAGUUCCGACCUGCACGAAUGGCGUAAUGAUGGCCAGGCUGUCUCCACCCGAGACUCAGUGAAAUUGAACUCGCUGUGAAGAUGCAGUGUACCCGCGGCAAGACGGAAAGACCCCGUGAACCUUUACUAUAGCUUGACACUGAACAUUGAGCCUUGAUGUGUAGGAUAGGUGGGAGGCUUUGAAGCGUGGACGCCAGUCUGCGUGGAGCCAACCUUGAAAUACCACCCUUUAAUGUUUGAUGUUCUAACGUUGGCCCCUUACCGGGGUUGCGGACAGUGUCUGGUGGGUAGUUUGACUGGGGCGGUCUCCUCCCAAAGCGUAACGGAGGAGCACGAAGGUUAGCUAAUCCUGGUCGGACAUCAGGAGGUUAGUGCAAUGGCAUAAGCUAGCUUGACUGCGAGCGUGACGGCGCGAGCAGGUGCGAAAGCAGGUCAUAGUGAUCCGGUGGUUCUGAAUGGAAGGGCCAUCGCUCAACGGAUAAAAGGUACUCCGGGGAUAACAGGCUGAUACCGCCCAAGAGUUCAUAUCGACGGCGGUGUUUGGCACCUCGAUGUCGGCUCAUCACAUCCUGGGGCUGAAGUAGGUCCCAAGGGUAUGGCUGUUCGCCAUUUAAAGUGGUACGCGAGCUGGGUUUAGAACGUCGUGAGACAGUUCGGUCCCUAUCUGCCGUGGGCGCUGGAGAAUUGAGGGGGCUGCUCCUAGUACGAGAGGACCGGAGUGGACGCAUCACUGGUGUUCGGGUUGUCAUGCCAAUGGCACUGCCCGGUAGCUAAAUGCGGAAGAGAUAAGUGCUGAAAGCAUCUAAGCACGAAACUUGCCCCGAGAUGAGUUCUCCCUGAGACUAUAAGUCUCCUGAAGGAACGUUAAAGACGAUGACGUUGAUAGGCCGGGUGUGUAAGCGCAGCGAUGCGUUGAGCUAACCGGUACUAAUGAACCGUGAGGCUUAACCUU